rnacentral:rRNA from 1 species
AGUGAACGCUGGCGGCAUGCCUUACACAUGCAAGUCGAACGGUAACACAGUAACAGCUGCCUCUGACGGGUGGACGGGGGCGUAAGGGAGAGGAACACGUCGGAAUCUGGGGGUUAGCGGGGGAAAACGUUUGGUAACACACGCUAAGACCGCAUACGAACAACAGGUGACAGCAGGGGAUCUUCGGACCUGGCGCGCCGAUGGCAGAUUAGGUAGUUGGCGGGAUAAAAGCUGACCAAGGCGACGAUCUGUAGCUGGUCUGAGAGGAUGAGCAGCCACACUGGGACUGAGACACGGUCCAGACUCCUACGGGAGGCAGCAGUGGGGAAUUUUGGACAAUGGGCGCAAGCCUGAUCCAGCAAUGCCGCGUGGAGGAAGAAGGCCUUCGGGUUGUAAAGUCCUUUUGUAGGGAAAGAAAAGGAGCUGGUUAAUACCUCGCGGACAUGACGGUACCCAAAGAAUAAGCACCGGCUAACUACGUG